AUUGAACGCUGGCGGCAGGCCUAACACAUGCAAGUCGAACGAGUGGCGGACGGGUGAGUAAUGUCUGGGAAACUGCCUGAUGGAGGGGGAUAACUACUGGAAACGGUAGCUAAUACCGCAUACCAUCAGAUGUGCCCAGAUGGGAUUAGCUAGUUGGUGGGGUAACGGCUCACCAAGGCGACGAUCCCUAGCUGGUCUGAGAGGAUGACCAGCCACACUGGAACUUAGACAAGGGCCCGACUCCUACGGGAGGCAGCAGUGGGGAAUAUUUGACAAUGGGCGCAAGCCUGAUGCCGCCAUGCCGCGUGGAUGAAGGAGGCCUUCGGGGUGGAAAGUACUUUCAGCGGGGAGGCGUUACCCGCAGAAGAAGCACCGGCUAACUCCGUGCCAGCAGCCGCGGUAAUUC
rnacentral:rRNA from 1 species